AGGGGGGCAUAGUGGAAGGGGUGGGCAAAGCGAAAAAUUUGAUUUUACCAACACUCUUUCACCCAACGGCACUCGUGCUUCACGUAAGCCAAGCACAGGGCCGACCAAGGUCAUUGACCAAAAUCAGUCCGGCUAGCGCCACCGAGCUGGCUACAUGACUGCGCGAUGUAGAUCGUGUGAGUUUCUUACGAAAUUCAAGGAUUUUGGAGACUGGAUAUUAUUGUGAAAAAUGGUUCAUAAUUAUUACAAAAGUAAAACGAACCAAGGCUCAUGGAGAGAAGAUCAAAUGAGAAGAGCGACGCGAUGGAGGAAGCGAGUCUUACUACGAUUAGUUCGGCAUCAAAAAAUAUGGUAUCCUAAUUGGAACUCUUCAUUAUAAUUUGAAAUCUGGUGAUGCAUCGAAGAAGAUUGAUAGGUUUCGUCCAGUAUUU